GAUGAAUGCUGGCGGCGUGCCUAACACAUGCAAGUCGAGCGGCAGCGCGGUCUUCGGACUGGCGGCGAGCGGCGGACGGCUGAGUAACGCGUGGGAACGUGCCCCAAAGUGAGGAAUAAGCUCCAGAAAUGGAGUCUAAUGCCGCAUAUGGUCUUCGGAUUAAAGCUUUUAGCGCUUUGGGAGCGGCCCGCGUCGGAUUAGGUUGUUGGUGAGGUAAUGGCUCACCAAGCCGACGAUCCGUAGCUGGUCUGAGAGGAUGAUCAGCCAGACUGGGACUGAGACACGGCCCAGACUCCUACGGGAGGCAGCAGUGAGGAAUCUUCCACAAUGGGGGCAACCCUGAUGGAGCAACGCCGCGUGCAGGACGAAGGCCUUCGGGUCGUAAACUGCUUUUAUGAGUGAAGAAUAUGACGGUAACUCAUGAAUAAGCACCGGCUAACUACGUGCCAGCCGCCGCCGUAA
rnacentral:rRNA from 1 species